GAUGAACGCUGGCGGCGUGCCUAAUACAUGCAAGUCGAGCGAAUGGAUUAAGAGCUUGCUCUUAUGAAGUCAGCGGUGGACGGGUGAGUAACACGUGGGUAACCUGCCCAUAAGACUGGGAUAACUCCGGGAAACCGGGGCUAAUACCGGAUAACAUUUUGAACCGCAUGGUUCGAAGUUGAAAGGCGGCUUCGGCUGUCACUUAUGGAUGGACCCGCGUCGCAUUAGCUAGUUGGUGAGGUAACGGCUCACCAAGGCAACGAUGCGUAGCCGACCUGAGAGGGUGAUCGGCCACACUGGGACUGGGACACGGCCCAGACUCCUACGGGAGGCAGCAGUAGGGAAUCCUCCGCAAUGGACGAAAGUCUGACGGAGCAACGCCGCGUGAGUGAUGAAGGCUUUCGGGUCGUAAAACUCUGUUGUUAGGGAAGAACAAGUGCUAGUUGAAUAAGCUGACACCUUGACGGUACCUAACCAGAAAGCCACGGCUAACUACGUGCCAGCAGCCGCAGUAA
rnacentral:rRNA from 1 species